rnacentral:rRNA from 1 species
AGGACGAACGCUGGCGGCGUGCUUCAUACAUGCAAGUCGAACGAGAAACUGACUUCGGUUAGUGGAAAGUGGCGGACGGGUGAGUAAUAUGUAGAGAAUCUGCCCUUGAGUGGGGGACAACAGAGGGAAACUUCUGCUAAUACCCCAUAUGAGCUUAGUUGAAAUACUAAUCUUGAAAACUCCGGUGCUCAAGGAUGAGUCUGCAUCUGAUUAGCUAGUUGGCGGUGUAAUGGACCACCAAGGCGACGAUCAGUAGCUGGUUUGAGAGGAUGAUCAGCCACAAUGGGACUGAGACACGGCCCAUACUCCUACGGGAGGCAGCAGUAGGGAAUUUUGCGCAAUGGGCGGAAGCCCUGACGCAGCAACGCCGCGUGAACGAUUAAGCCCUUCGGGGUGUAAAGUUCUGUCAGUAGGGACGAAACUUGACGGUACCUACAGAGGAAGCACCGGCUAACUCCGUGCCAGCCGCCGC